rnacentral:rRNA from 1 species
UACGUAGGGGGCAAGCGUUGUCCGGAUUAUUGGGCGUAAAGAGCGUGUAGGCGGUUUUACAGGUCCGCUGUGAAAACUUCGAGGCCUCAAACCUCGAGCUGUCGGUGGAAACCGUAAGGCUAGAGUCCGGAAGAGGAGAGUGGAAUUCCUGGUGUAGCGGUGAAAUGCGCAGAUAUCAGGAAGAACACCCGUGGCGAAGGCGGCUCUCUGGGACGGUACUGACGCUGAGACGCGAAAGCGUGGGGAGCGAACAGG